rnacentral:rRNA from 1 species
GUAGGUGGCAAGCGUUGUCCGGAAUUAUUGGGCGUAAAGCGCGCGCAGGCGGUUCUUUAAGUCUGAUGUGAAAGCCCACGGCUCAACCGUGGAGGGUCAUUGGAAACUGGAGAACUUGAGUACAGAAGAGGAAAGCGGAAUUCCACGUGUAGCGGUGAAAAGCGUAGAGAUGUGGAGGAACACCAGUGGCGAAGGCGGCUUUCUGGUCUGUAACUGACGCUGAGGCGCGAAAGCGUGGGGAGCAAACAGGGAUUAGAUACCCUGGUAGUCCACGCCGUAAACGAUGAGUGCUAAGUGUUAGGGGGUUUCCCGCCCCUUAGUGCUGCAGCUAACGCAUUAAGCACUCCGCCUGGGGAGUACGGCCGCAAGGCUG